rnacentral:rRNA from 1 species
UACGGGGGGAGCAAGCGUUGUUCGGAUUUACUGGGCGUAAAGGGCGCGUAGGCGGCGUGACAAGUCACUUGUGAAAUCUCCGGGCUUAACUCGGAACGGUCAAGUGAUACUGUCGUGCUAGAGUACAGAAGGGGCAACUGGAAUUCUCGGUGUAGCGGUGGAAUGCGCAGAUAUCAGGAGGAACACCGAUGGCGAAGGCAGCUCGCUGGGACGGUACUGACGCUGAGGCGCGAAAGCGUGGGGAGCGAACAGG